rnacentral:rRNA from 1 species
AUGAACGCUGGCGGCGUGCCUCAUACAUGCAAGUCGAGCGAACGGACGAGAAGCUUGCUUCUCUGAUGUUAGCGGCGGACGGGUGAGUAACACGUGGAUAACCUACCUAUAAGACUGGGAUAACUUCGGGAAACCGGAGCUAAUACCGGAUGAUAUUUUGAACCGCAUGGUUCAAAAGUGAAAGACGGUCUUGCUGUCACUUAUAGAUGGAUCCGCGCUGCAUUAGCUAGUUGGUAAGGUAACGGCUUACCAAGGCAACGAUGCAUAGCCGACCUGAGAGGGUGACGGCCCACCCUGGACUGGGCACAGGCCCCAGCCUCCUGCGGGAGGACGCAGUGGGGAUCCUUCGGAAGGGGGGGAAGCCGGACCGGAGCACCGCGGGGUGAGUGAGAAGGGUUUCCGGAUCGAAAACCUUUUUUUUAGGGAAAAAACAUUGGUUAAGGUACCUGUCCCCACCUGGAGGGACCCAAACAAGAAGCCCACGCCUAAUUCCUC